rnacentral:lncRNA from 1 species
GUGAUUUUUACAUUAUUGAGUGACAGAUUUUGUUUUAUUCCUUUAAAGAGUUUUGGACACAAUUCUCUAAGAAUGGCAGGGUUUCUGUUGAUUCCCACUUUUUAUGCAGGUGCCUGGAAAUCACCAGGUAGACAACUGGGGUGAUUUUAGGGCUUGGUUUGCUUGUUUCCCUUCGUCACUGAUCACAAUCCUGUACUACCUAUUGUCCAUUAUCUGAAAAUAGCUGUUUCAGACAUUUUUUUCAGUUCACUCACUUAGGAUAGGAGAACUUUUUGUGAGGCUGUUACCUUUUCAUGGAUGGAAGUAAAAGUACAUUAGAUGACCUUCCUUUUCAAAUGUGUGUAAUUUUGGAUCCCUGCUUUGUUAUGCUUAUUGAUAGGAAACUGAUUUUCUCCAUUUUCAGAAAGCAUCAUCCUUCAGAGAACAGGAAACACUUUGAAACUCUGGUAUCUACAAUGAGUGAAGAGAGGUUUUCUGGUGGAUUAGGAAGUUCCCCACACUUUCUCAUCAAGAACAGUGAUGCCAGAGUAGUGCAUCUGGUGUGUCCAGCUGCAGGCUGGUACCUAGAACCUGAGGCAAGCUGGGGAGAUACCUGA